AUUGAACGCUGGCGGCAGGCCUAACACAUGCAAGUCGAGCGAGCGGCGGACGGGUGAGUAAUGUAUGGGGACUGCCCGCUAGAGGGGGAUAACUACUGGAAACGGUGGAUAAUACCGCAUAUUGUCGGAUAACCCAUAUGGGAUUAGAUAGUAGGUAAGGUAUUGGCUUACCUAGGCGACGAUCCCUAGCUGGUCUGAGAGGAUGAUCAGCCACACUGGCACUGAGAAACGGCCCAGACUCCUACGGAGGCAGUAGUGGGGAAUAUUGCACAAUGGGCGCAAGCCUGAUGCAGCCAUGCCGCGUGUAUGAAGAAGGCCCUAGGGUUGUAAAGUACUUUCAGUCGGGAGGCGUUACCGACAGAAGAAGCACCGGCUAACUCCGUGCCAGCAGCCGCGGUAAUUC
rnacentral:rRNA from 1 species